GCUAUACAUGCAAGUCGAACGAACUUCCGUUAAUUGAUCAUGGAGGUGCUUGCACUGAAUGAGAUUUUAACACGAAGUGAGUGGCGGACGGGUGAGUAACACGUGGGUAACCUGCCCAGAAGCAGGGGAUAACACCUGGAAACAGAUGCUAAUACCGUAUAACAGAGAAAACCGCCUGGUUUUCUUUUAAAAGAUGGCUCUGCUAUCACUUCUGGAUGGACCCGCGGCGCAUUAGCUAGUUGGUGAGGUAACGGCUCACCAAGGCGAUGAUGCGUAGCCGACCUGAGAGGGUAAUCGGCCACAUUGGGACUGAGACACGGCCCAGACUCCUACGGGAGGCAGCAGUAGGGAAUCUUCCACAAUGGACGCAAGUCUGAUGGAGCAACGCCGCGUGAGUGAAGAAGGGUUUCGGCUCGUAAAGCUCUGUUGUUAAAGAAGAACGUGGGUGAGAGUAACUGUUCACCCAGUGACGGUAUUUAACCAGAAAGCCACGGCUAACUACGUGCCAGCAGCCGCGGUAAUACGUAGGUGGCAAGCGUUAUCCGGAUUUAUUGGGCGUAAAGCGAGCGCAGGCGGUCUUUUAAGUCUAAUGUGAAAGCCUUCGGCUCAACCGAAGAAGUGCAUUGGAAACUGGGAGACUUGAGUGCAGAAGAGGACAGUGGAACUCCAUGUGUAGCGGUGAAAUGCGUAGAUAUAUGGAAGAACACCAGUGGCGAAGGCGGCUGUCUGGUCUGUAACUGACGCUGAGGCUCGAAAGCAUGGGUAGCGAACAGGAUUAGAUACCCUGGUAGUCCAUGCCGUAAACGAUGAUUACUAAGUGUUGGAGGGUUUCCGCCCUUCAGUGCUGCAGCUAACGCAUUAAGUAAUCCGCCUGGGGAGUACGACCGCAAGGUGAAACUCAAAAGAAUUUGACGGGGCC
rnacentral:rRNA from 1 species